CAGGCGCGCAAAUUACCCAAUCCCGACUCGGGGAGGUAGUGACAAUAAAUACUGAUACAGGGCUCUUUUGGGUCUUGUAAUUGGAAUGAGUACAAUUUAAAUCCCUUAACGAGGAACAAUUGGAGGGCAAGUCUGGUGCCAGCAGCCGCGGUAAUUCCAGCUCCAAUAGCGUAUAUUAAAGUUGUUGUGGUUAAAAAGCUCGUAGUUGAACCUUGGGCCUGGCUGGCCGGUCCGCCUCACCGCGUGUACUGGUCCGGCCGGGCCUUUCCCUCUGUGGAACCCCAUGCCCUUCACUGGGUAUGGCGGGGAAACAGGACUUUUACUUUGAAAAAAUUAGAGUGCUCCAGGCAGGCCUAUGCUCGAAUACAUUAGCAUGGAAUAAUAAAAUAGGACGUGUGGUUCUAUUUUGUUGGUUUCUAGGACCGCCGUAAUGAUUAAUAGGGACAGUCGGGGGCAUCAGUAUUCAAUUGUCAGAGGUGAAAUUCUUGGAUUUAUUGAAGACUAACUACUGCGAAAGCAUUUGCCAAGGAUGUUUUCAUUAAUCAGGAACGAAAGUUAGGGGAUCGAAGACGAUCAGAUACCGUCGUAGUCUUAACCAUAAACUAUGCCGACUAGGGAUCGGACGAUGUUAUUAUUUGACUCGUUCGGCACCUUACGAGAAAUCAAAGUGCUUGGGCUCCAG
rnacentral:rRNA from 1 species